AUACUUACCUGGCAGGGGAGACACCAUGAUCACGAAGGUGGUUUUCCCAGGGCGAGGCUUAUCCAUUGCACUCCGGAUGUGCUGACCCCUGCGAUUUCCCCAAAUGUGGGAAACUCGACUGCAUAAUUUGUGGUAGUGGGGGACUGCGUUCGCGCUUUCCCCUG
ensembl:snRNA U1 U1 spliceosomal RNA